AGCGAACGCUGGCGGCAGGCCUAACACAUGCAAGUCGAGCGCCCCGCAAGGGGAGCGGCAGACGGGAUAGAAACACGUGGGAACAUGCCCUUCAGUACGGAACAACCAAGGGAAACUUUGGCUAAUACCGUAUACGCCCGUAAGGGGAAAGAUUUAUCGCUGAAGGAUUGGCCCGCGUCUGAUUAGCUAGUUGGUGGGGUGAUGGCCCACCAAGGCGACGAUCAGUAGCUGGUCUGAGAGGAUGAUCAGCAUCACUGGGACUAAGACACUGCCCAGACUCCUACGGGAGGCAGCAGUGGGGAAUAUUGGACAAUGGGCGCAAGCCUGAUCCAGCCAUGCCGCGUGAGUGAUGAAGGCCUUAGGGUUGUAAAGCUCUUUCGUCAGGGAAGAUAAUGACGGUACCUGAAGAAGAAGCCCCGGCUAACUUCGUGCCAGCAGCCGCAGUAACAC
rnacentral:rRNA from 1 species